AUCUUUGCGCUUGGGGCAAUGACGCAGCUAAUGAGAUAAUAACCGAGGCGUGUCAAUUGUUGGUUGAAAACUAUUUCCAAACCCCCUCCUUGGUCUUGGGUCUCCCUUGACAAUAGAGAAUUUCUGGCAGGGCUCCCUUUCGAGGG
rnacentral:snRNA from 1 species